AACGCAUAUUGCGCUCUCUGGUAUUCCGGGGAGCAUGCCUGUUUCAGCAUCAUUUGAAUAUCUCAAAAGUCAUCUUUUUGUUGAUGAUUUUGGAAUGUGGGCUCUUUGUUGUAUUUGUAAAAUACAACUGGCCUUAAAUUGUAAUGAAUCAAUGCAAGAAUUAAUGUUAGAUGGUUUGGCAAUAAAGACGAAAAGCUUAUUAGUUGACUAAGGUCAAACUUGCUGACUAGUUUUUUAAAGCUGAGAAAAAUCUACAUUCACAAUUUGAUCUGAAAUCAGGUAGGAUUACCCGCUGAACUUAA
rnacentral:misc_RNA from 1 species